AAGCGUGAUAGAGGUGCGGAAAACAUUAGUAAAAUAUUUUUUUGGGAAUCGAAAAUAUUUGAAAGGGUAAUCCACCGAGGGAUUUUGAGUCUGCCCAAGGCUUAAAGUUGCCGGGACGAUUGGAGAAUAUCUGUCGUACUGCCAUAUUUUUAUGGAGAGCUGUCGUGGUU
rfam:Anaerococcus vaginalis ATCC 51170 genomic scaffold SCAFFOLD1, whole genome shotgun sequence.